GAUGAACGCUAGCUACAGGCUUAACACAUGCAAGUCGAGGGGCAGCGCAGUGUAGCAAUACAUGGGCGGCGACCGGCGCACGGGUGCGUAACGCGUAUCCAACCUUCCCGUUACUCAGGGAUAGCCUUCCGAAAGGGAGAUUAAUACCUGAUGGUGUUCAAAUUCCGCAUGUUAUUUGAACUAAAGAUUUAUCGGUAACGGAUGGGGAUGCGUGACAUUAGAUAGUAGGCGGGGUAACGGCCCACCUAGUCUACGAUGUCUAGGGGUUCUGAGAGGAAGGUCCCCCACACUGGAACUGAGACACGGUCCAGACUCCUACGGGAGGCAGCAGUGAGGAAUAUUGGUCAAUGGUCUGACGACUGAACCAGCCAUGCCGCGUGAAGGUGACGGCCCUAUGGGGUCUUAAAACUUCUUUUGUAAGGGAGCAAUAAGGUGUACGUGUACAUCGAUGAGAGUACCUUACGAAUAAGCAUCGGCUAACUCCGUG
rnacentral:rRNA from 1 species